rnacentral:rRNA from 1 species
AUUGAACGCUGGCGGCAUGCUUUACACAUGCAAGUCGAACGGCAGCACGGGCAUCUGGCUGGUCGGGUGUUGGCGACGGGCGAGUAAGAUACCGGUGCGUAACCAGCCGAGGGGGCUGACGUAGCGUAGGGUAAGCUGAUACCGCAUCGGAUCAUUGUUUGAAAGCCGGGGUUCGCAAGGCCUUGUGCUUCUUGCUGGCCCCUUAUCUGAUUAGCUAGUUGGUGAGGUAAAGGCUCACCAAGGCGACGAUCAGUAGCUGAUCUGAGAGGCCGACCAGCCACACUGGAACUGAGACACGGUCCAGACUCCUACGGGAGGCAGCAGUGGGGAAUUUUCGACAAUGGGCGAAAGCCUGAUCCAGCAAUGCCGCGUGAGUGAUGAAGGCCUUCGGAUCGUAAAGCUCUGUUGUUAGGGAAGAACAGAUAGGGACGUAUCUGCGCAGCUAUUGACGGUACCUAAUGAAAAAGCACCGGCUAACUACGUG